CUGGUAUUGAUUGGUGCUUGCAUCAUGAUUUACAUUUGAGUGAGUGGCGAACUGGUGAGUAACACGUGGGAAACCUGCCCAGAAGCGGGGGAUAACACCUGGAAACAGAUGCUAAUACCGCAUAACAACUUGGACCGCAUGGUCCGAGUUUGAAAGAUGGCUUCGGCUAUCACUUUUGGAUGGUCCCGCGGCGUAUUAGCUAGAUGGUGGGGUAACGGCUCACCAUGGCAAUGAUACGUAGCCGACCUGAGAGGGUAAUCGGCCACAUUGGGACUGAGACACGGCCCAAACUCCUACGGGAGGCAGCAGUAGGGAAUCUUCCACAAUGGACGAAAGUCUGAUGGAGCAACGCCGCGUGAGUGAAGAAGGGUUUCGGCUCGUAAAACUCUGUUGUUAAAGAAGAACAUAUCUGAGAGUAACUGUUCAGGUAUUGACGGUAUUUAACCAGAAAGCCACGGCUAACUACGUGCCAGCAGCCGCGGUAAUACGUAGGUGGCAAGCGUUGUCCGGAUUUAUUGGGCGUAAAGCGAGCGCAGGCGGUUUUUUAAGUCUGAUGUGAAAGCCUUCGGCUCAACCGAAGAAGUGCAUCGGAAACUGGGAAACUUGAGUGCAGAAGAGGACAGUGGAACUCCAUGUGUAGCGGUGAAAUGCGUAGAUAUAUGGAAGAACACCAGUGGCGAAGGCGGCUGUCUGGUCUGUAACUGACGCUGAGGCUCGAAAGUAUGGGUAGCAAACAGGAUUAGAUACCCUGGUAGUCCAUACCGUAAACGAUGAAUGCUAAGUGUUGGAGGGUUUCCGCCCUUCAGUGCUGCAGCUAACGCAUUAAGCAUUCCGCCUGGGGAGUACGGCCGCAAGGCUGAAACUCAAAGGAAUUGACGGGGGCCCGCACAAGCGGUGGAGCAUGUGGUUUAAUUCGAAGCUACGCGAAGAACCUUACCAGGUCUUGACAUACUAUGCAAAUCUAAGAGAUUAGACGUUCCCUUCGGGGACAUGGAUACAGGUGGUGCAUGGUUGUCGUCAGCUCGUGUCGUGAGAUGUUGGGUUAAGUCCCGCAACGAGCGCAACCCUUAUUAUCAGUUGCCAGCAUUAAGUUGGGCACUCUGGUGAGACUGCCGGUGACAAACCGGAGGAAGGUGGGGAUGACGUCAAAUCAUCAUGCCCCUUAUGACCUGGGCUACACACGUGCUACAAUGGAUGGUACAACGAGUUGCGAACUCGCGAGAGUAAGCUAAUCUCUUAAAGCCAUUCUCAGUUCGGAUUGUAGGCUGCAACUCGCCUACAUGAAGUCGGAAUCGCUAGUAAUCGCGGAUCAGCAUGCCGCGGUGAAUACGUUCCCGGGCCUUGUACACACCGCCCGUCACACCAUGAGAGUUUGUAACACCCAAAGUCGGUGGGGU
rnacentral:rRNA from 2 species